rnacentral:rRNA from 1 species
AUACGGAGGGUGCAAGCGUUACUCGGAAUCACUGGGCGUAAAGCGCGCGCAGGCGGUCUUUUAAGUUGGAUGUGAAAGCCUACGGCUCAACCGUAGAACUGCAUCCAAAACUAUUAGACUAGAGUGUGAGAGAGGAAGAUGGAAUUAGUUGUGUAGGGGUAAAAUCCGUAGAGAUAACUAGGAAUACCAAAAGCGAAGGCAAUCUUCUGGAACACUACUGACGCUGAGGCGCGAAAGCGUGGGGAGCAAACCGGAUUAGAUACCCCAGUAGUCC